UACGUAGGGUCCGAGCGUUGUCCGGAAUUACUGGGCGUAAAGAGCUCGUAGGUGGUUUGUCGCGUUGUUCGUGAAAACUCACAGCUCAACUGUGGGCGUGCGGGCGAUACGGGCAGACUAGAGUACUGCAGGGGAGACUGGAAUUCCUGGUGUAGCGGUGGAAUGCGCAGAGAUCGGGAGGAACACCCGUAGCGAAGGCGGCGCUCUGGGCCGGUACUGACGCUGAGGAGCGAAAGCGUGGGGAGCAAACAGG
rnacentral:rRNA from 1 species